rnacentral:rRNA from 1 species
GAUGAACGCUGGCGGCGUGCCUAAUACAUGCAAGUCGAGCGAACAGACGAGGAGCUUGCUCCUCUGACGUUAGCGGCGGACGGGCGAGUAACACGUGGAUAACCUACCUAUAAGACUGGGAUAACUUCGGGAAACCGGAGCUAAUACCGGAUAACAUGUUGAACCGCAUGGUUCAACAGUGAAAGACGGUCUUGCUGUCACUUAUAGAUGGAUCCGCGCCGCAUUAGCUAGUUGGUAAGGUAACGGCUUACCAAGGCAACGAUGCGUAGCCGACCUAAGAGGGUGAUCGGCCACACUGGAACUGGGACACGGUCCAGACUCCUACGGGAGGCAGCUGUAGGGAAUCUUCCGCAAUGGGCGAAAGCCUGACGGAGCAACGCCGCGUGAGUGAAGAAGGUCUUCGGAUCGUAAAACUCUGUUAUUAGGGAAGAACAAAUGUGUAAGUAACUAUGCACGUCUUGACGGUACCUAAUCAGAAAGCCACGGCUAACUACGUGCCAGCAGCCGCCGUAA